rnacentral:rRNA from 1 species
UACAGAGGGUGCGAGCGUUAAUCGGAAUUACUGGGCGUAAAGCGCGCGUAGGCGGCUUUGCAAGUCGGGUGUGAAAUCCCCAGGCUUAACCUGGGAACUGCAUUCGAGACUGCAUUGCUAGAGUAUGGGAGAGGGAAGUGGAAUUUCCGGUGUAGCGGUGAAAUGCGUAGAUAUCAGGAGGAACACCUGCGGUGUAGACGGCUUACUGGACCAUAACUGACGCUGAGGCCCGAAAGCGUGGGUAGCAAACAGG